GCGGCCCGCCUGCCUGCCCGCCGCUGGCAUUGGGCACGUCAUACAGUGCCCAGUAGUGAAGCUGGACGGGCUGGGGGCUCCAGGAGAGCCCGCGCCUGACUCUCCAGGGCUUUCCAUGGCUGGGAGCUCCUUCGCUUCAGGAAGAGAAUCCAGUCCCAAGGCAAGGCACGCACAUCCCCAGGCCGCCUUGAGCAAGAGGACUUGUGAGCCAACUGCGAUCCAGGGACCCUGGGCUGAAGAUGGGGGAGACUUGGUGAGCAGAGAACUCCUAGGCCUGCAGAUGGCAGAGCUGCUGCCAGGGUGGGGGGCCCUGAGGUGGGGCAGGUCACGUGGGCAGCAGCGGCCCCCACCUUUUU